CUUGAACAGCGAGUGACCACACCCGAAAGGGGUGCUUCCGGCAAGGACACUCGUAGAGGUGCUGCAUGGCUGUCGUCAGCUCGUGUCGUGAGAUGUUGGGUUAAGUCCCGCAACGAGCGCAACCCUUGUUUGCUGUUGCCAUCACGUUAUGGUGGGCACUCUGCAAAGACUGCCGGUGAUAAACCGGAGGAAGGUGGGGAUGACGUCAAGUCAGCAUGGCCUUUAUGUCUGGGGCUACACACGUGCUACAAUGGCCGGUACAAACCGUCGCGAUACCGUAAGGUGGAGCUAAUCGGAGAAAGCCGGUCUCAGUUCGGAUUGUCGGCUGCAACUCGCCGGCAUGAAGUUGGAAUCGCUAGUAAUCGCGGAUCAGCACGCCGCGGUGAAUACGUUCCCGGGCCUUGUACACACCGCCCGUCACAUCACGAAAGCCGGUUGUACUAGAAGUCGCCACACCAACCCGCAAGGGAGGGAGGCGCCUAAGGUAUGGUCGGUGAUUGGGGUGAAGUCGUAACAAGGUAAGCGUAGUGCU
rnacentral:rRNA from 1 species